rnacentral:rRNA from 2 species
UACGUAGGGUGCGAGCGUUGUCCGGAAUUAUUGGGCGUAAAGGGCUCGUAGGCGGUUUGUCGCGUCGGGAGUGAAAACACUGGGCUUAACCCAGUGCUUGCUUUCGAUACGGGCAGACUAGAGGUAUGCAGGGGAGAACGGAAUUCCUGGUGUAGCGGUGAAAUGCGCAGAUAUCAGGAGGAACACCGGUGGCGAAGGCGGUUCUCUGGGCAUGAUCUGACGCUGAGGAGCGAAAGUGUGGGGAGCGAACAGG